GUGGGGAAUAUUGGACAAUGGGCGAAAGCCUGAUCCAGCCAUGCCGCGUGUGUGAAGAAGGUCUUCGGAUUGUAAAGCACUUUAAGUUGGGAGGAAGGGCAGUAAGUUAAUACCUUGCUGUUUUGACGUUACCGACAGAAUAAGCACCGGCUAACUUCGUGCCAGCAGCCGCGGUAAUACGAAGGGUGCAAGCGUUUAUCGGAAUUACUGGGCGUAAAGCGCGCGUAGGUGGUUUUGUAAGUUGGAGGUGAAAUCCCCGGGCUCAACCUGGGAACUGCCUCCAAAACUGCAUGACUAGAGUACGGUAGAGGGUAGUGGAAUUUCCUGUGUAGCGGUGAAAUGCGUAGAUAUAGGAAGGAACACCAGUGGCGAAGGCGACUACCUGGACUGAUACUGACACUGAGGUGCGAAAGCGUGGGGAGCAAACAGGAUUAGAAACCCUGGUAGUCC
rnacentral:rRNA from 1 species